GCCUCACUUUGUGCUCAAACCCACAAGGAACAACACAGUCUGGCCUAAUUAAGCAAAGAACUUAAUGAAGUGUUUAAACAUGUAAGUAAACCCAUUGGUUGAACGCUGUGUUGCUUGGCUUAGCAUGCUUGGCUCCUUGCAGGAAUGGACCUUAGCACAGGCACUGGGGGUAAUGUACCUCCAGGAGGGAACUGGGGCUCUGCUGGGUGCACAGGGUGCUUGGCAUGCUGGGACUUCCUUGGCUUUCAUCCAGCUCAUGGAGAUAGCACAGUGGCUGAGGGAUCCUGGGACAGAGUUUGCCUCUCCCAACGUGCAGAGCUCUCCCAGGCUAGGGGCGAGAUAACUUCAGAGCUGCUGUGAGAAUGAAAUCCUGGCAGAUAUGCAACAUCCAAGAAGCAAUGGGGGGAGAAAAGAGGAGGGAACCCCCAAGUCACAUCCACAACUGAUGACUGCUCAUGCUACAGAAUUGUUCAAGGAGACGAAAUGUCGUCUUACGGAACAAAGACCUCUGAAAUAAACUGUUUUGUAAUGUCACUUUCCCUGCUCACUCCGAACUACAAUCUGCUCCAAAAAUUACUUUCUCAUCCACUGUUCACUAUGCGCAUUAUGAGUCUGAUCCCGAGUCAGUUCUCCUGUUAAAUACUGACAUAACAGUGCAUCUUAAACAAGAACAGCAGCUAAACUUCUCUUGCCCCACGCAGCAAAGCCCCAGGAGCUAAGCAUAAGCGACAAAUUCAUUUCAACAAACAGAAAUCAGCCAGCUCUUUUUUUCUCUGCACAGCUUUUUC
rnacentral:lncRNA from 1 species